rnacentral:rRNA from 1 species
GAUGAACGCUGGCGGCGUGCUUAACACAUGCAAGUCGAACGGAAAGGCCCAAGCUUGCUUGGGUACUCGAGUGGCGAACGGGUGAGUAACACGUGGGUGAUCUGCCCUGCACUUCGGGAUAAGCCUGGGAAACUGGGGCUAAUACCGGAUAGGACCACUUCUUGGAUGUUGUGGUGGAAAGUUUUUUCGGUGUGGGAUGAGCUCGCGGCCUAUCAGCUUGUUGGUGGGGUAAUGGCCUACCAAGGCGUCGACGGGUAGCCGGCCUGAGAGGGUGUACGGCCACAUUGGGACUGAGAUACGGCCCAGACUCCUACGGGAGGAAGCAGUGGGGAAGAUUGCACAAUGGGCGCAAGCCUGAUGCAGCGACGCCGCGGGGGGGAUGACGGCCUUCGGGUUGUAAACUCCUUUCGCUAGGGACGAAGCGUUUUGUGACGGUACCUGGAGAAGAAGCACCGGCUAACUACGUG